rnacentral:lncRNA from 1 species
UUUUUUAGGGACAGAAAAAAAUAGCUACACUAUGAAAAAUUGUCCCUUGUGACAUAUUUUUAUAAAACAUCCAUGAAAUUAUGUCCAAGCACUUGGGACAAUUUUUCACUAAGGGGGACACUAUUUUAUAGUUUAAAAAUGUGAUAUUCUGUCCCUGAACGAAAUUUCACAGAUGAAUUGUGAAAUAUCAGAAGACACAAUUUCAUGGGACACUUUUUUUGCUUACAAAAUCUCUCAUCAACUAAAAUAAUCAAAUUUAAAAAAAAACAAUGUUUUUGAUUAAUUUUAUUUACAUAAAUAAGUUGACUUGUCCCCUAUUUUACUUUUGGUUUCUGAUGCUGAGUCUUCAUGUUCCAACUGAUUUGUCUCUAGUCCGAGAUUACUCUGACGUCCAACGGCUGUUUUGCUUGACAAUCUCGGACUAAUUUGUCUCAUGACGAGUUUUAACCCUGUUCUCGCUAAUGCAUUAUGACAUGCAUACAUCCCGGUACGUGCAAUGGACGCUUCCUGAUACCAAUGGCUUAGUCUUGUUAUCAUCAUCACCCCCUCAGCUCUCAAAAAGAAGCGAGUAAUCACAUUUAAUAUUAUUACCGGAAAUUUACUUUCGUUUCAGUCCAUUGCAACUGUAAGGAUGAGUCCCGAGCAAUACGAAAUGAAUUAUGACGACAUGACAAACGCUAAUUCGAUAAAGACAGAGAAGUUCGAAAAGUUUUCAUCACCACGUGUACCUUUGGAGUAAAGGAAAAUUUCAACAGGGAACCUUUCAACGCUCUAUUUUUAGAACGAAAGGACAUUUCCAAUUUAAACUAUUUACGCGACGACUAUGUAAUAGAUAAGGCUAAACUAUGCACACG